UCAUCCAUUGUUGUUCACUGAACUGUUUUCAUUAAAGCUAAAUCAUUAGAACUUAGAUCAUUGUGGAAAUUGGUUGUGCAGGGUCGCUCUACAACAAAAGCCCAUCAAUCUGAUCAGCAGCAGACCCAUACUUGUUGGAAUUAGGAAUUUUUCAAACUAUCGGAUGGUACCCCAAAUUUCUGUUAAUGUGUACAUACAUUGGUGUUAGUGGUACCAAACAUUAAUGCAUUAUCUAUUUUAUUCCAUCUAUCAAUAAUUUUCAGUGUGUUAGCUGUGUCAGGAUUACAGAUUUGUAACUUAUUAUAUUUGUACACAGAUCCCUACUGUGUGAUAUAAUGGUUAGCUCUCACCCUUGCAUCCUUCCUGCUGUAACAUGGAACACUUAAGGUUCCCGUCUGCCCCUUACCCUUGCAUCCUUCCCUCCCUGGCUGUAACAUGGAACACUUAAGGUUCCCCUCUGCCCCUUACCCUUGCAUCCUUCCCUCCCUGGCUGUAACAUGGAACACUUAAGGUUCCCCUCUGCCCCUUACCCUUGCAUCCUUCCAUCCCUGGCUGUAACAUGGAACACUUAAGGUUCCCGUCUGCCCCUUACCCUUGCAUCCUUCCCUCCCUGGCUGUAACAUGGAACACUUAAGGUUCCCCUCUGACCCUUACCCUUGCAUCCUUCCCUCCCUGGCUGUAACAUGGAACACUUAAGGUUCCCCUCUGCCCCUUACCCUUGCAUCCUUCCCUCCCUGGCUGUAACAUGGAACACUUAAGGUUCCCCUCUGCCCCUUACCCUUGCAUCCUUCCCUCCCUGGCUGUAACAUGGAACACUUAAGGUUCCCCUCUGCCCCUUACCCUUGCAUCCUUCCUGCUGUAACAUGGAACACUUAAGGUUCCCCUCUGCCCCUUAUCCUUGCAUCCUUCCCUCCCUGGCUGUAACAUGGAACACUUAAGGUUCCCCGCUGCCCCUUACCCUUGCAUCCUUCCCUCCCUGGCUGUAACAUGGAACACUUAAGGUUCCCCGCUUCCCCUUACCCUUGCAUCCUUCCCUCCCUGGCUGUAACAUGGAACACUUAAGGUUCCCCUCUGCCCCUUACCCUUGCAUCCUUCCCUCCCUGGGUAUAACAUGGAACACUUAACUCUUUCAAUAU